GUCGAGAAUCAUUCGCAAUGGGCGAAAGCCUGACGGUGCGACGCCGCGUGGAGGAUGAAGGCCCUAGGGUCGUAAACUCCUGUCAUCAGGGAGUAAAGACUCGUGUAGUCACUGACACGGGUCCUGAUAGUACCUGAAGAGGAAGGGACGGCAAACUUCGUGCCAGCAGCCGCGGUAAUACGAAGGUCCCAAGCGUUGUUCGGAUUUACUGGGCGUAAAGAGUCUAUAGGCGGCGGGGUAAGUCAGAUGUGAAAUCCCGGGGCUCAACACCGGAACUGCAGCCGAGACUGACUUGCUAGAGUAGUGGAGGGGAGUCUGGAAUUCUCGGUGUAGCAGUGAAAUGCGUAGAUAUCGAGAGGAACACUAGUGGGGAAGGAGAGACUCUGGACAAGUACUGACGCUGAGAGACGAAGGCCAGGGGAGCGAAAAGGAUUAGAUACCCCUGUAGUCC
rnacentral:rRNA from 1 species